rnacentral:tRNA from 2 species
GCAGGGAUAGCCAAGCCUGGUCAACGGCGCUAGAUUCAGGGUCUAGUUCUUAGUGAUUCACCGGUUCGAAUCCGGUUCUCUGCA